GCUUUCCCUCCAGAGUGGAUCCUGAGUACGGCGGAACACGUGAAAUUCCGUCGGAAUCCGGGAGGACCAUCUCCCAAGGCUAAAUACUCCCUAGUGACCGAUAGUGAACCAGUACCGUGAGGGAAAGGUGAAAAGCACCCCGGAAGGGGAGUGAAACAGUUCCUGAAACCGUGUGCCUACAAGUAGUUAGAGCCCGUUAAUGGGUGAUAGCGUGCCUUUUGUAGAAUGAACCGGCGAGUUACGAUUUGUUGCAAGGUUAAGCGGAAAAAGCGGAGCCGUAGCGAAAGCGAGUCUGAAUAGGGCGCAUAAGUAACAGGUCGUAGACCCGAAACCAGGUGAUCUACCCAUGACCAGGAUGAAGGUAAGGUAAUACUUACUGGAGGUCCGAACACACGCACGUUGAAAAGUGCGGGGAUGAGGUGUGGGUAGCGGAGAAAUUCCAAUCGAACUUGGAGAUAGCUGGUUCUCUCCGAAAUAGCUUUAGGGCUAGCCUCGAGGUAAAGAGUCAUGGAGGUAGAGCACUGUUUGGACUAGGGGCCCUUCUCGGGUUACCGAAUUCAGAUAAACUCCGAAUGCCAUGUACUUAUACUCGGGAGUCAGACUGCGAGUGAUAAGAUCCGUAGUCGAAAGGGAAACAGCCCAGACCACCAGUUAAGGUCCCCAAAUAUAUGUUAAGUGGAAAAGGAUGUGGGGUUGCUUAGACAACCAGGAUGUUGGCUUAGAAGCAGCCACCAUUGAAAGAGUGCGUAAUAGCUCACUGGUCGAGUGACCCCGCGCCGAAAAUGUACCGGGGCUAAACAUAUUACCGAAACUGUGGAUGAACCUCUUUAGAGGUUCGUGGUAGGAGAGCGUUCUAAGGGCGGUGAAGUCAGACCGGAAGGACUGGUGGAGCGCUUAGAAGUGAGAAUGCCGGUAUGAGUAGCGAAAGAAGGGUGAGAAUCCCUUCCACCGAAUAUCUAAGGUUGCCUGAGGAAGGCUCGUCCGCUCAGGGUUAGUCGGGACCUAAGCCGAGGCCGAUAGGCGUAGGCGAUGGACAACAGGUAGAGAUUCCUGUACCAGUGCUAAUUGUUUAACCGAUGGGGUGACACAGAAGGAUAGGGAA
rnacentral:rRNA from 1 species